AGUUAAAUAGCUUAAAGUAAAGCAUAUAUUUUGAAAAUAUAACAAAAAGGUUGAAUUCCUUUAUUAACUU
rnacentral:tRNA from 1 species